AGCCUCGAAGUGGUUUUCACGUUGAAUUGCAAGUUCAAAGGAGCAGCUUCAAUCCUGCCGGGGCUU
rnacentral:tRNA from 1 species